AUCGCAGAGGGGCUGAUUCCCCCUCGCUGCAUCCCCAGGCUCCUGGGUCAACAGACUCCUGGCUGGUGGAAGACUGAGGAGGGAGAAGGCAGGGCAUCCCCCCCCUCCUGCUUCCGGGAUAUUCUUGGGCCGCAGCUGCUUCUUGUCCAUGGCACCAGCUCCUUCAGGACAGACUCGCCCUUCCUCCUUCCUCCGGUGUCCUCAGCCUCCCAGCUGCCUCUUCCUCUCUCUCUGUCCUAGAGGUUUUGGGGGCUGACUGGCCUUCUGCUCUCGGGCUUCCUUCAGUCUUGCCCGUUUGAUUCUCUGUUCCUCCCGUCACUGGUGUAACCAGUCCCUCGAAUUAAUUUCUUGGUUGUAAAUCCUUGACAUGGUUUUGUUUUUCCUGGUAGGUGGGUUCUUUAUUUGAUGCGUGUACAUAAAACGUUUAGUAUAAUGCCUGGCUCAUAGUGUGUUCUCCUUAGAUGAUAGGUAUGAACAAAUGGAAACCAAUGGAAAUUAGCUAAUCUGUAAGCAUGGUAGGUAUAAGGAAAAAACCCACAGCGUCUUUAGCUACAACUCCAAAAUCUAUAAAGCUCUAAAAACUUGAGUUUUCCAAAAAUAAGCUUUUGCUUAUUUUGAUUGCAAAUUCUGACUUUAAGUGACAUGAAGCUACUUAUAGUAUUUAUUUAUCUCACUUAGGGUGAUUUUAUUUAUGUUUUAUUGCAUACAAAUGGAUGUGUUUGAUCUCAGGAGACUGAUCAAGCUCCACUGGGAAUGUUGUGUAAGAAACGGUAUGCGCUCCUAUCUCUGUAUAAACUCCAAAAAGUUCUAAAUUCAGAAAUCCACUGGACCUAAGUACUUGGAAGAGGAGCCUGGGUGGCCGUGUCAGGUUUCAGCAAAAGUUGAACUGGCUCUGAAUGUGGAAGAGAGAGGAGUUGGGGCAGUUCCGAGGAAAAAGAAGUUGUGAAGAAACAUGUGGGGAAAAAGGGAGAAUGAGGUGCUGGUCACAGAGGAUGGAAGAGCAGGGUGUGGAGGAAGCUUUUCAGGACGAGGUGAGUUACGCUAUUGUCUGGUAAAGUCAAAUCUUAGAAUAUCAUCUUUUUACGUUAUUUUCUGCGUGAAUAUGCCAACUUACAGUAAGUACACUGUCCUAGGGACUCGAGUCGAAAAUAUAUGCACAUCCAAUUAGACCCCUAGCCUGGGAGCCUCCAUAUGCCACGGGUGCGGCCCUAGAAAAGACAAAAAAAAGAAAGAAAAGAGAAUAUUUGCACGUAAUUUCACUUUACUUUUAGUGCUUAAAAAUUAUGACAACAUCUAGACAUUCUAGGGAUGAGUGACGGGAUUUUAUUUCAUUUUCUGUCAAAGGACAGUCAUUAUUUUAUGAAUAAAACAUGGAAAAGCUCAACA
rnacentral:lncRNA from 1 species